rnacentral:rRNA from 1 species
GAUUAACGCUGGCGGCGUGCCUAACACAUGCAAGUCGAGCGGCAGCGAGUUUUACACUGAAUUCUGGAAGCUUCUAGUUGAAAGAGAAGAUUUAUUCAAGAAUUUUGUGUAAAAUGUCGGCGAGCGGCGGACGGCUGAGUAACGCGUGGGAACGUACCCCAAAGUGAGGGAUAACGCAUCGAAAGGUGUGCUAAUACCGCAUAUGGUCUUCGGAUUAAAGUCUUCGGGCGCUUUGGGAACGGCCUGCGUAAGAUUAGAUAGUUGGUGGGGUAAUGGCCUACCAAGUCGACGAUCUUUAACUGGUUUGAGAGGAUGAUCAGUCAGACUGGAACUGAGACACGGUCCAGACUCCUACGGGAGGCAGCAGUGAGGAAUCUUCCACAAUGGGCGAAAGCCUGAUGGAGCAACGCCGCGUGCAGGAUGAAGGCCUUCGGGUUGUAAACUGCUUUUAUAAGUGAGGAUUAUGACAGUAACUUAUGAAUAAGGAUCGGCUAACUACGUG